rnacentral:rRNA from 1 species
CCUACGGGCGGCAGCAGUGAGGAAUAUUGGUCAAUGGACGCAAGUCUGAACCAGCCAAGUAGCGUGCAGGAUGACGGCCCUCCGGGUUGUAAACUGCUUUUAGUUGGGAAUAAAAGGGGGCUCGUGAGCCCCGUAUUGUAUGUCCCAUCAGAAAAAGGACCGGCUAAUUCCGUGCCAGCAGCCGCGGUAAUACGGAGGAUGCGAGCGUUAUCCGUAUGUAUUGGGUUUAAAGGGUGCGUAUGCGGAGCGUUAAGUCAGUGGUCAAAUUGCGGGGCUCAACCCCUUCCCGCCCUUGAAACGGGCGCUCUUGAGUGGAAGAGAAGUAGGCGGAAUGCGUGGUGUAGCGGUGAAAUGCAUAGAGAUCACGCAGAACCCCGAUUGCGAAGGCAGCAUGCCGGCUUCCGACUGACGCUGAAGCACGAAAGCGUGGGGAUCGAACAGGAUUAGAUACCCUAGUAGUC